GACGGGGCCCGCACAAGCGGAGGAGCAUGUGGUUAAUUCGAUGAUACGCGAGGAACCUUACCUGGGCUCGAACGUAAGAUGACUGUAGGUGAAAGCUUACAUCUCUUCGGAGCAUUUUACGAGGUGCUGCAUGGUUGUCGUCAGCUCGUGCCGUGAGGUGUCGGGUUAAGUCCCAUAACGAGCGCAACCCCUACCUUUAGUUGCCAUCAGGUUAAGCUGGGGACUCUAAAGGAACUGCCUACGCAAGUAGUGAGGAAGGCGGGGAUGACGUCAAAUCAGCACGGCCCUUACGUCCAGGGCUACACACGUGCUACAAUGGCCGAUACAGAGGGCAGCUACCUGGUGACAGGAUGCAAAUCUCCAAAGUCGGUCUCAGUUCGGAUCGGAGUCUGCAACCCGACUCCGUGAAGUUGGAUUCGCUAGUAAUCGCGCAUCAGCCAUGGCGCGGUGAAUACGUUCCCGGGCCUU
rnacentral:rRNA from 1 species